GACGAACGCUGGCGGCGUGCUUAACACAUGCAAGUCGAACGGAAAGGCCCUGCUUUUGUGUGGUGCUCGAGUGGCGAACGGGUGAGUAACACGUGAGUAACCUGCCCUUGACUUUGGGAUAACUUCAGGAAACUGGGGCUAAUACCGGAUAGGAGCUCCUGCUGCAUGGUGGGGGUUGGAAAGUUUCGGCGGUUGGGGAUGGACUCGCGGGUUAUCAGCUUGUUGGUGGGGGAGUGGCUUACCAAGGCUUUGACGGGUAGCCGGCCUGAGAGGGUGACCGGGGACCUUGGGACUGAGGUACGGCGCAGUCUGGUACGGGCGGCAGAGGGGGGGAAUAUUGCGCAAUGGGCGGGAGCGUGAUGAAGCAACGCCGCGUGCGGGAAGACGGCCUUCGGGUUGUAAACCGCUUUCGCCUGAGACGAAGCGUGAGUGACGGUAAUGGGUAAAGAAGCACCGGCUAACUACGUG
rnacentral:rRNA from 1 species